AAGGGUGCGAGCGUUAAUCGGAAUUACUGGGCGUAAAGCGCGCGUAGGUGGUUUGUUAAGUUGGAAGUGAAAGCCCUGGGCUCAACCUGGGAAUUGCUUUCAAAACUGACGGGCUAGAGUACGGUAGAGGGUAGUGGAAUUUCCUGUGUAGCGGUGAAAUGCGUAGAUAUAGGAAGGAACAUCAGUGGCGAAGGCGACUACCUGGACUGAUACUGACACUGAGGUGCGAAAGCGUGGGGAGCAAA
rnacentral:rRNA from 1 species